rnacentral:tRNA from 1 species
GAGAAAGAAUGCAAGAACUGCUAACUCAUGCCCCCAUGCCUAACAACCUGGCUUUCUCA